rnacentral:rRNA from 1 species
ACGCUCGACACCUACGGGAGGGCAGCAGUGGGGAAUAUUGCACAAUGGGGGAAACCCUGAUGCAGCGACGCCACGUGAGUGAAGAAGUAUUUCGGUAUGUAAAGCUCUAUCAGCAGGGAAGAAGAUGACGGUACCUGAGUAAGAAGCCCCGGCUAACUACGUGCCCGCAGCCGCGGUAAUCUGAGCGGGCUGGCAAGGC